AGUGGCGACGGUGGUCAGUGAUCAGGAGAUCAGAGUGGUAGCUGAGCUGCUCCAGAUCUCUCCUGAGGGACUCAAGAAGGCCAUCACACACAAAGUCACGGAUACAGUCCGGGAGAAGAUAUACACUCCCCUGACAGUGGAGAGUGCUGUGGAUGCCAGAGACGCUGUUGCUAAGAUCCUGUACUCGCUGCUGUUUCAUUGGCUGACCGAGAAGAUAAAUGGGCGGGUCUAUCCUCACAACGAGGCUCUGUCCAUCUCUAUACUGGACAUAUACGGCUUCGAGGAUCUGUUACUCAACAGUUUUGAGCAGCUGUGUAUCAACUAUGCCAACGAGACACUGCAGUUCUACUUCAACAAGAUCAUCUUCAGGGAGGAACAGG